GCUAGAGUCAGUCAGUCGAUUGCGAGCUGCGAGUCGCGACGUGCGUAGCGCCUGCGCACGGUACCCGAGCGCCCGAUGUGCGGAGAGGGGCGCGGUGCCGGCGGGACCGGUCGCACGCCGACCUGCCGACCUUACCUACCGUUCACCACACGCACCUAGACUCCACAACUAAACUGUGCAUCAACAAACAUACGAAAGUGUUUCGUGAUCGCAAUGGACAUUACGGACAAAUGCAUCCGAUUCCCGCAAUUGGAAACUGCAUUCGCGACGUGAAUCAUGUACGUACAUAUGUGUUCUACGGCUAGUGUCCAUCGGCGCGUUGUUGACAUGCGCAUAUUAAUAACUGUUUAGAUCGCGACGAAAAAACUAAGACUCGGCCUGCCCGAACGGCGCGGAGUUGUCAGUCGACAGUGACGGAUCCAGUGAUGAGGUUGGACCAAAACUCUUGUGGCACCGGGACACGCAGAAGGCACCAGCGGGUUCGUCGGUACCAUGGCACAGGCGGCAGGCUCGCCGCCAAACACGCAGAAUCUCAACAAACGCCAGCGUCUCUCGCGUCUCCUCGACAAACUAAGUGUGCAGUUGCAAAACAAUAAUUUGUAUCCACCAACACAACAUUGGCCAGCGCUGAACCCACCAUUCCAAAACAAUAAGCCACCUGCAGAUGAGCCUUUAGAUCUCUCGGUUAAGCACGAGCAGCCAUCGCCGGCCCCCGAGAUAACGUAUACAUGCGAAACUUGCGGCCAAACCUUCACCAUGCACGACCGCCUCGCCAAACAUAUUGCUUCUCGACACAGGAAUCGCACUCCGGAGGCGGCGCGGCUAUAUGAAUGCGAGGUAUGCCUGAGACGGUUUGCUCGCUCGGACAUGCUGACCCGGCACGCUCGUCUGCACAGCGGCCUCAAGCCGUACUCGUGCUCUGCCUGCGGUCAGGUGUUCUCCCGCUCGGAUCACCUCGCAACCCACCAGCGCACACACACAGGAGAAAAGCCCUACCGGUGCCCGUCCUGCCCAUACGCUGCUUGCCGCCGCGACAUGAUCACUCGCCACAUGAGGACGCACUCAAGGCGACCGCAGCCUGCUUAAGCCAGACUUUUUCGGCAACUUUUUAUAAUUUCCUAUAGGUGUUAUUUUAAUCAGAUCCCUUAUUAUUAUUAUCAUUAUUGUUUUUGGAGACUGAAUGAUUCAUUCCAAAGUUAAAGUAUCUUGUUUGUUUUUGAUUGGUGUUUAAUAAGUAUUGUGUGUGUUCAAGAGACCCCGGCUUCUAACCAGUAGCUGACCAGAUGAUUUUGGUAAGAACGACACAUCACAUUGCACUAUUGAGAAUUGCACAGUUAAUUUGACUAAGAUUACGUUGCUGCCUUGCGAUUUUUUUUUUGGCCCAGCGAUGUCAAAUAAACUGCACAGCGCAAUGCGAUCUGUCGUCGGUGUUUUUGUAGAGACUUUUGUUGUACCUAUUUUUUGUUUUGUUGCUUUUUUAUUUUCAUCGAUAUUGGCUUGGGAACCAAUUAUGAAGAGGUCAUUCCUGCUCUUCUAUGAUUUGUUGUAAUCAUUUAACUCAGUACGUGUGCCAUUGAGUUUACGAAUGUUAAUUGUUUUUGUAAAUACCUAUUUGUACUUAUACCUAUAGUUGUAUAUACAUAGUUUUUAAACAUAGUUUAUGUUUUUGUUUAAUCAUAGAAUAAGCUUGCAGGCUCUUUGUUUAUCGCCUAAAAAUAUUAAACGAAAAAAAAAAAACUCUUAGGACUAUAAGACGUGCUGAGCUUGACUUUACUUGUUAUGGUCAUUUAAUGAUUUCUUAUUUAAUUAGUAUCGGGAAAGUAAUUGUUGCUUAUGUUAUAAAUAAUCAUUUUUAUAUCAUUAUCUAGGUAUAGUUAAGUACUUAAAAUACAUUUUAUGGAAUAAGCCUCACUCACAGGCAGGCCAUUCUUUUCACAUUGUUUUCUAUGUUAUUUCUAUUUCUGAGUGCCAAAACGUUUUGUUUAAACUCGUGAAUAUUAUUGUUAAAUACUACUUCCAUAUAAUAGUAUUUUCGUGAUGAAGAGUAAUUUAGUUCUGUAAGUGUAAUUAUUCAAAUAUUUAGUAAAUGAACAUCAUACCUGUUAGAUGAAGGUUUUUCAAUCUCUUUUAAAUUAACUCAGGUGUACAAUAACUACCUACUUAUUAUACGACUUACUAUGCCAUGAGGAACAUGAUUAUGUAGGUAGUUAAUUUCUAUUUGUACUUAUAACUCUAUACUAACUCUUACUUAUAAGAGCUGCAUACCAGCAAAAUCUUUACAUCCUACAUAAAGACCAGUCCAGAUACGCUUUAAGCUCCUUCUGGAAUGAGCUUCUAAAGCGGAAUUCGUAGAAUUACUUACAUGCAGGACAUAACUUUCAUGUUUUUUUGCAAAAUAUGAGAAAAAUACAAAACUAUAUGUAAAUACGUCGUUAAUGAAUAAAAUAUCACCACUAAUUUAGGACGUAAAUAAUGACUUUUAUAAAAAUUACAGAUAUAAAUUUUACUUUUGGCGGGCUGUCGAGUAAGUUUGAGAGUGUUUGACGCUGUUCUAUUUAUUUAAUACCACUCGUCAAAAACAUAUCUUAUAAAAAUUUCACAAGAGACUUAAUACCAAAAAAUCCAAAGACCGAAAGUUAAAGUUUUUAUUUGGAAACCAAAGUUAAUGGCUAUAUAAUUAGGAAAUCAAAACUAAUCUUUAUUAAUAUUAGUUUACAUAAUCAACGGAACACAAUGAAAUUAAGUAGAGUCUGAAAAAAAACUCACUCGUUUCGUUCUUUUGAAUUGUUUUUUUUGUAAUGUUCACAUAGAAUUGUUUAUAACAACAUUGUUGUAUACAUAUAGACUUUUCAAUGUUUGGAGUCUGGUAAUGUUAAAGUUGAUCUUCGUUGCCAGAAUCGAUUUUUCGAGACAGAUCAUUUUUAUACCGCCUUCAUAGGUAUACGGCUGGCUUGGAAGUUGCUGGUUACCAACGGUCAUGGACAUCAACAAUGUCGUAGGCACAAAAACGAAGCCACUGUCUACCUACCUAUCUAUAUAUCUGGCGGAAAUGUUUUCCAUUUUUUUUUAUUCUGUCACCAGUGUUCUCGUCUGGAUGUCUGCUACAUACAUACAGACGAAUAUGAAAGACCGCUCGUCAUUUAACGUAAGAGUGUAAAUAGUAGUUGUAUAAAUUAAGUCUAGUAGAUUUUAGGAUAAGUGUAAUAGAUUGUUAAAGUACCUAUGCUUGUUUACACGACUGGCUCUCUUCACUUGUUUAACGUGUUUUUGUUUUAAACGCAAUUUUCCCUCAACUUCCAAAUUCAGUUUAAUAAGGUUUUCACUUUUUUUUCGACGUGGUCAAUCGAAUAAAUAUGUUACGUAUCUAUUACGCAGUUGUAGUGCUCCUUUUAUGGUGCACCUCAUUACUAGCCUGCAAGGGAAAUAUUUUUUUCUAAUGUUUAAAUUUCAAAGCAAUCCAACGACCAAACCUAGUGUAAGUGCGAGCUCAAAGUGCUUCAAAAAUGUUUCGUCUUUUGACGGAGCGAAUCGAAGUCUUGAAUCACUGCACAAUAUUAGCCAAGCUUAUUGCAUUCCUACAUGAUCGGCCAAUCGAACUAGCUCCUGUAUCGUCCUAUCUUACAAAAUUUUACCAAUUGUAUAAUAUUUAACAUUCUAACCAGAUAUUAAAUCUACUACAUAUAUAUCUAGAUAUACAUAAUAAUAACUUCAUUACUUGAAACAAUCUGAUAAGUUUCAUAUUUUUUAAACGUAUGAAUAGUAAUUAAAUAAUUAGUUAUACUGUUAUAAAAAUAUAUAGAUUGCUCUCAAUUAAUAAUACAAUUUGGUUCAGUAAAAUAAUGAAUGUUGCUCAUGAAAGAUUUCAUCUUUUAUAAGAUACUCCUGUUAUGAUGAAGCAUUUAUAUCGCAUUUUAAUUUUGUACACAGCUUUAGAAAAAUAGGUACAUAGGGGUUUGAGAUAAGUUAAGUCUACUCGUAUUAGCGUAUAAGCUAGUAAUGUUCAUGAUUCAUUCAUCAUUCAAUGAUUCUCGCUCAUCGAUAGCCGAAAACUGGAUGACACUUCUGAAUAUCUGUGUUUUAGCGAACGCGCAAUUUAUCUCAAACUUUGGCAACACAUCAAAUUAUAAGUAAGUAUUAUCAUUUAAAUCGGCAAAAUUGCGAAGUGUAUAGGCCUAUAUCACCUUAUUAACUAUUGGGGAAAAGAGUUUUUUUUUUAAACACAGAUCAACUCAAUAUCGAUGUGUAUAUUCAAUCUUUUAAGAAUAUAAAUCGUAGGUAGAUUCGAUGAUACUAUAAUUAAUUUAGUUUAGUAAAUAAUGUUCUUAGCGGAGUGUUAUGCUUUAUAUAAAAAUACUAUAAUCAAAUUUUAAUGUUUUGAUCUUAUAAUAAGGAGACGUCUGAGUAUAUUCAUUCGUAUUUUUCGAUGUAGGUAAGUAGUAGGUACUUCAGGUCUUAAGGAUCUCAGUGAGUCAGAAGGAUAAGUUUUAAAUCAAUGUUGUGUAUUGUUAAUUCGUAAUUAUAACCUAUACUAAUAAUUGCUGUUUGGAAGUAAAACCAUUAGAGGCUACUACGAAAAGUUGUCUGUUUUAGUUAUUCAAGUUAACGUUUUCAUUUAAUUGUCAAACAAGUGCCAGCAUUGACUCGAAAACUCGAAAAUCGUUUGUCUACUGCUGCACUACUAUGAUUUUAUUCGCGUAUGUUUUUAUUUUGCAAUGUUUAAGCUGUCAUAUUUUAGUUGUCAAUAAACGUUUUUAUUGUC